rnacentral:rRNA from 1 species
CCUAACACAUGCAAGUCGAGCGGAAACGAGUUGUCUGAACCUUCGGGGNACGAUAACGGCGUCGAGCGGCGGACGGGUGAGUAAUGCUUGGGAAAUUGCCCCGAUGUUGGGGAUACCCAUUGGAAACGAUGGCUAAUACCGCAUAAUAGCUUCGGCUCAAAGAGGGGGACCUUCGGGCCUCUCGCGUCAGGAUAUGCCCAGGUGGGAUUAGCUAGUUGGUGAGGUAAGGGCUCACCAAGGCGACGAUCCCUAGCUGGUCUGAGAGGAUGAUCAGCCACACUGGAACUGAGACACGGUCCAGACUCCUACGGGAGGCAGCAGUGGGGAAUAUUGCACAAUGGGCGCAAGCCUGAUGCAGCCAUGCCGCGUGUAUGAAGAAGGCCUUCGGGUUGUAAAGUACUUUCAGCAGUGAGGAAGAUGGUGUACUUAAUACGUGCAUCAUUUGACGUUAGCUGCAGAAGAAGCACCGGCUAACUCCGUGCCAGCAGCCGCGGUAAUAC